rnacentral:tRNA from 1 species
GGGGAUGUAGCUCAGUAAUAGAGCACUUGCCUUGCAUGCAUGAGGCUCUGGUUCAAUCCCCAGCUGUGCUA